rnacentral:rRNA from 1 species
UACGUAGGGGGCAAGCGUUGUCCGGAAUCAUUGGGCGUAAAGGGCGUGUAGGUGGUUUCGUAAGUCUGGCGUGAAAUUUUUCGGCUUAACCGGGAAAGGUCGUCGGAUACUGCGGAACUAGAGGACGGUAGAGGCGUGUGGAAUUCCGGGUGUAGUGGUGAAAUGCGUAGAGAUCCGGAGGAACACCAGUGGCGAAGGCGACACGCUGGGCCGUACCUGACACUGAUGCGCGACAGCAUGGGGAGCAAACAGG